rnacentral:lncRNA from 1 species
GAGGCUGAGUUUAGUCUGUAAGAUUCAGCUCGACAGUUUUUUUUUAAACCUUUAUUCGGUGAUAGAGUGUGUUUCAAUGUUCGUUUUGGUUUCAUUUAUAUGAGUGUUUUCUUUUUUUUUUCAUUUCCUACGCUGUCCGCCCAUUACAAAAGCAAGAUUAUCAGCGUAUUUUCUUGUGGCUCUCAGCAGCGGGAUUUUCAACGUGUGAUCUUCACAAAAGCGACGGUGUCGUACCGUUUACGUUGGGCCUUCAGCAUCUCAGAAGACGUUACCUCGCCGGAGUCGGACUGCUUUUGGAUUUACGUGGCUCUGUGGGAUGCGGUAUGAAGAUCGUUGCAUUCAAGUUUGCCGCCUCUACUUAACUGUGCAGGGUCUGGACUGUAGUCAGAUCUGUAUGACAGAUGUUACACUCGUUUUCUGCGGGACAACAACCCGUGUGGGUUCCCUCCCAGCAACUGAGAUUGCAUAUAACUCCAAGGAUGGUAGAACUCUCAGAAACAAAAGGCAAAGAACCGUCAGAAAGCAAAGAGCAAGGUUUGUCACCUGACACAUAAACUCCAUGACCUCGACAUU